CAACGUGGCUGUGUAAUGGAAAUCUGCUCUAUAUUUCAAAACAGAUUAAAGUGAAAAGACACUGCAGCGGCAAGGGGGUUUUCUGGGAUGACCUGCCUGUGGGAUUUGGGCCUCCAUCCCCUUACACCCAGUAGAGGCACAGCCUGAGG